GCGCAUCUAUUGUAGUGGUAGCAUAAUACUUUUCUAAGUUUGUACACAGAUAUUCAGGUACUGGCCAAAGUUCAAAUCCCUGGAUACGCA
rfam:Macleaya cordata isolate BLH2017 scaffold1211, whole genome shotgun sequence.